GUUGUCGUGGUCGAGUGGUUAAGGCGAUAGACUCGAAAUCUUUUGGGAUCUUCCCGCGCAGGUUCGAAUCCUGCCGACAACG